UAUUCUUUCCCGGCAAAAGUAAGAACAUAUCUGCGUAUAAAUUAGAUUAAAUUUUGCGGCUUACUUGCGUUGCCUAGCGACAGGCGAACCGGCGAAUGACGAGCCAGAUGCUUAUGUCCUUCGUCAGAUAUACCGCCGAAGCGAGAGAGACCGGCCGCGCAUCUGAGCGUUGGCAUGCUUGGUCAGCAAUCUGCCUGUUUUUCUGUUUUUGGAUUUAGCUUGGUUUGGUCGGCUCCCGGCGAAUUCUUGCGUUCCUUCUGGACUUCGACAUGUCAUCACUGCUCUAUUGAACUACGGCGAGCUGAGGUCAUCUGGUGGAGCUUCCUACGGAAACUACUGCUGCUUAUAUAUAUAUAUCUGGUCCAACAACGUUGAUGAGUGCACAAAAAGCCCGCAACAAGCAUUUAUAAAGAAUAAAAUAAACGUGUUCUCAUUUCACAAGG